rnacentral:tRNA from 1 species
UCUCCAGUGGCGCAGUUGGUUAGCGCAUGGUACUUCUAAUGCCGAGGUCGCGAGUUCGAGCCUCGCCUGGAGAA